ensembl:lncRNA
GCGGGGGUGAAAUUCGUGUUGUUGGCCCUGGCCACUGAGGGGCCCCUGAGAGAAAGGGGAAUCUUUUUGUCCAUGCCAGUUCAUCCUUCCUGAAAGGGCCAGGGGCAAGUGAAUUUCAAUGAUCAGGAGCAGUUUGAGAUGCUGACCGGAACAAGGACUGAAAAACUGCUGGGCCCGCAGGACCUUGUGGGGUCCAAUAACCCUAACCCUGGCUCCACGACCCGAGCCUAACGUGGAUUCCUCCAUGUUGGGACCGAGUCAAAGCAAGAUUCCCAAAAAGGAUGACUCCUGUGCCAGGAAGAGGGUCCGUAUCAGAACUACACAAUGAGUUGGUCCUUUGACUCAGAGCAGAGCGAGUGUGCUCGGUCAGUGGUGGUUCUACGUGCAGUUACGCCCCGGGCAAGACUUCCUCCUCAUGACGCCCCCCCAUGUGAUUUGGCGCCCCCCACAAAUAUGCCGCCCCGGGCGGCUGCCUGGUUCGCCCGUACCUAAAACCGCCACUGUGCUCGGUUCUGGUAUGGCGGCUGCGGUGGGAACCAGUGAGAACCUCUGACUGACCAAGAGCCACUAGAACCACGCUCAUCUCAGAACCACACACUGAAAAAAAGUCGGUUGGAUAUACAUGAAAAAAAAAUUAACAUUUUUUAAUCAUCUUCAAUUCUGACUAUUUAAUUUAGAAAAAUUGACAGAAUUAUUUUUGAAUUAUCUUUUAUUAUUAUCAUGUUAAACAUACUUAAUUACCCCAUCGCAAACCAACAUGGCUUAAUAUCAUUUUGUAUAUAUUUUACAUGCUCAGUAUUUUCAAUUAUAACCUGUUUAAGAAACAUGAAUUUUCUAUUUAAAUUUGUGUUGUCAUGUUAAAGCUACCUAACCUGCUCAAGUAAGUAUGAGACUAUUAAAUAUUAAAAUUAC